GACGAACUGUCCUAACGUUGUUCGGAAUCACUGGGCUUAAAGGGCGCGUAGGCGGUCCGACAAGUCGGGGGUGAAAUCCUGCAGCUCAACUGCAGAAGUGCCUUCGAUACUGUUGGUCUGGAGGGAGAUAGGGGUGUGCGGAACUUCCAGUGGAGCGGUGAAAUGCGUUGAUAUUGGAAGGAACGCCGGAGGCGAAAGCGGCGCACUGGAUCUCUUCUGACGCUGAGGCGCGAAAGCUAGGGGAGCAAACGGG
rnacentral:rRNA from 1 species